AGAGUUAUUUAUGCACAAGGUACUCUGCUGUAGAGAGGGUUGCUUACUAACACAGCCAGGGAGGACUGGGGAAGGAUUCCAGCUGCCUGAGCUAAGCCAGGAAGGGAAAAUUGGAGUUAGCAAGGCAAGGAAGGUCAUUCCAGGCAGUGGAAACAGAAUGAGCAAAGGCAAGAGAAAAGGCUAUUUGCUUUUGAGCUACUCCGGGAGAGGAGCAGAGUCGGUUUGAGUUGCAUGACUGACAUCUUCUGGCUACAGUGGAUAUUACAGAAAGACUGAAACUCCGCAAAAGUGUGUUUGAAAAAAAGAAAAGCACCCUGGAAUUUGGAUCAUUAAGUUAUACUGAUUCUUCAACUAAAACUUUCUUGGGACUUGUAAUACGAAGUAUCGUAAACAAGGUCAUGCACCACUAAUAAAAGAAAUAUUAUUCGCUUAUUACUCAGAAUGCCUUGGGCUGUCUUUCUGCAUGCAAUCCACUUAAUAAGUAACCCAAUAGCAGACAAGUUCAGGAGAAGGUGCAGGCCUGUCCAGCCAGCAGAGGAAGAGUCAGCUGCCUCCACGACUACACUCCAAAUGGACAUAUUUCAUAUUCUCCCCAUACAGACUGCAUGGCUUGGGUCUACCUGGAAACACCUUAGAAUAGAGAUCUCCCCUCCAUUCCUGGGUUCCUUGGAAACAUGAAGCUACACUCACCACCAACCAUCUGUUCCCAUGUUAAAUAUAAAAUGGAGAAGAAAUUGUCUAUUUUGAAGGGAAGAGAGAGCCAUCAUCUUUUACAAGUGCCAGAGGUAGUUUUGCUUAGUGCUUCCAAGUCCUUUGUAGGCUGAGCACUGAAGUGAAGAGGAUAUGGGCAGGAGCUGCCUAAGAAGAGGAGAUGAAAGAAAGCAGAAGUCCACUAGUGAGGUCUCUAUAAUGCCUCGGUAUCUCCUGCCACAAUCCACAGGCUGCCCUGGGCUCUGGGUCAUCUCUAAAGAUAAAAUUAGUCAUUGUAUGCUGGCACUGAUAUUACAUGUGUUGCAUACAUAGUCUCUAAAUCAUACACUAACCCUAAGAAAUAGGUGUCACCAUUCCCUUCUA
rnacentral:lncRNA from 10 species